rnacentral:rRNA from 1 species
ACGGGUGAGUAACACGUUGGAACCUAGCCCCAAAGUGAGGAAUAAGCCACCGAAAGGUGGUCUAAUACUUCAUAAUAUCCAUCUCGUAUGGAUUAAAGCUUUAUGCGCUUUGGAGGGGCCUGCGUAACAUUAGCUUGUUGGUGAGGUAAAAGCUCACCAAGGCUUCGAUGUUUAACUGGUUUGAGAGGAUGACCAGUCACACUGGGACUGAGAUACGGCCCAGACUCCUACGGGAGGCAGCAGUAAGGAAUCUUCCACAAUGGGGCAACCCUGAUGGAGCAAUACCGCGUGCAGGAUGAAGCGUUUCGGCGUGUAAACUGCUUUUAUCACCGAAGAUUAUGACUGUAGGUGAAGAAUAAGGACCGGCUAACUACGUG